UACUCUCUUACCUUUCUAGCGUGAUUGAUCAUUAAACUGAGUCGGUCCUGAUAAAAAUCUGAGUUGCGUUCAGAGUUUGGCGAGUGCAAAAUCUGAGUCGGUCCCUUCCGUCCACCUCGAGACUAAUAGAGUCAUCAGGGAUCUGGGUACGGUGAGAUUGCGGCGAAGAUGAAACUAACCCUAAAGAGAGCGUUGAUGAAGUGUCAGCCGGUUGAGAUAACAAAUCCAUGGAACAAAAGCUUGCAUUCAAACAAAACCCAAACCAAAAAAAAAUAAAAGAGAGAAAAAAAUCGGCCUCCGAUGAAGACAAUGUUGAG
rnacentral:lncRNA from 1 species